rnacentral:lncRNA from 1 species
CCUCAAGGAGCAGAAGAAUCUCAAUUCCUUCUUUGCCGUCAUGUUUGGCCUCAGCAACUCGGCCAUCAGCCGCCUAGCCCACACCUGGGAGCGGCUGCCUCACAAAGUCCGGAAGCUGUACUCCGCCCUCGAGAGGCUGCUGGUGAGUGCUCCACCCUGCCCGGCCUGGCUCUGCUAGGAUCAGCUGGGCUCGGCCCUGCCCUCCAGACACCCUCACUCUUGGCUUCCCUGCAGCCCCUCUACUCGUCCUUUGUCACUUUCAGGGUUCCCAACCUCGGCCCAGGGCCUAGCUCCAGCCUGUGAGUUUGGGGAGCUGGCUGAGGAAGGGGUGUUCAGCACUAGGAUAGGGGUUGCACGGUGCAUCCUGGCCCUCAGUGUGUGCAUGGGGGCAGGAGAUCCUGUGUGAAGACUGGGCUGGAGCAUGUGGGUGUCCAGUCCUGGGGUCUGAGGUGCCAGGGCAGUGUCAGGGGCUCCAGAGCCCAAGGGCCUGGCAUGGAGCGCCUGUGUGCACCAGGGCCUGUCUGCCCCUCAGGAACUCCGAGGGGCUUGCGGGCUAGACCAGUAGAAGAGGCGAGGAUAGAGUUGGGGGUGGAACCUCCCACCUCCAGGAACUUUUGAGGAUUUUGAGGGUUUUGACUAUUCUGGAGAGAAGCAGAGAAGAGGUACUUCAUCAGCAUAGCCUGGGAGCUCUUGAGAGAAAAUCCACCUCGUGGGGCUCAAGGGAUUCAAAGGAGUUUACUCUGCAGAGAGAGAGAGGGAGGGACACAGAAAGAGACAGGGAUAGAAAGGGACAGAGAGGUGACAGUGACAGACUUUUCCAAGAA